rnacentral:rRNA from 1 species
CAGUAGUCAUAUGCUUGUUUCAAAGAUUAAGCCAUGCAUGUCUAGUAUAAGCGACUAUACUGUGAAACUGCGAAUGGCUCAUUAAAUCAGUUAUGGUUUAUUUGAUGGUACCUUACUACUUGGAUAACCGUAGUAAUUCUAGAGCUAAUACAUGCAGGAAUUCCCGACUUCGGAAGGGAUGUAUUUAUUAGAUAAGAAACCCAUGCGGGCUUGCCCGGUUGUGUGCUGAGUCAUAAUAACUGCUCGAAUCGCACGGCCUUGCGCUGGCGAUGGUUCAUUCAAAUUUCUGCCCUAUCAGCUUUCGAUGGUAGGAUAGAGGCCUACCAUGGCGUUUACGGGUAACGGAGAAUUAGGGUUCGAUUCCGGAGAGGGAGCCUGAGAAAUGGCUACCACAUCCAAGGAAGGCAGCAGGCGCGUAAAUUGCCCAAAUCCUGACACAGGGAGGUAGUGACAAGAAAUAACAAUACAGGGCUAU